CGGAUCAAAAUAAAAGGAUUUCCUUUCCACUAGUUCCGUGUUCUUAACUUGACAGGUUUGAUUAUCGACUUAGAAGGCCAAUAUCUGGCCAGACUGCACGACUUGUGCUCGCAGCGUGGGACGGCUCUCGUAAAGGUGAUUCAGGGUAGCUUCUGGAAAACAAGACAUCAGAUCUCCCAGACAGCUUUCUUUGUGCUAAUGUAGGAAGGGAACAGAAUGGCUUGGACACAACUGCGCCUAUGACCGAGUUCAUUCAAGCUGGUGGACAAGGCUGGUACAGUAACAUGUCACAUUUGAUGACUUUGCAGCAGAGAUGUCAGGAGUGCAGCUUGGGAUCACCUCCUUCUACUGAGAGUUCAGUUUGAAGGGAUGAGCAAGUAAUUUUUCCUGGGUGGACGGAAAUCUAAAGUCUGUUUUCUAACACUCUUCCAGACACUUCUCUGUCCAUCGGCCUGUCCUGCCAACUCUGGUGCGAGUGUGAAGUUGUGGCAAGAGGGGUUUCCCGUUCCUAUUUGACCUGGUGGACACCAGCUUUCCUAGGAAAUGGCUGAUGUUGCUGAGGAGGCAGCAGUAUCAAAGCCCUAGAUUCUGAAAGCAGCAA
rnacentral:lncRNA from 1 species